rnacentral:rRNA from 1 species
CCUACGGGGUGCACCAGGCGCGAAAACUUUACAAUGCGGGAAACCGUGAUAGGGGAACUCUGAGUGCCCGUUAAAUCGGGCUGUCCAUCAGUUUAAACAACUGGUGAAGAAAGGGCCGGGCAAGACCGGUGCCAGCCGCCGCGGUAAUACCGGCGGCUCGAGUGGUGGCCACUAUUACUGGGCUUAAAGCGUUCGUAGCUGGUUUGUUAAGUCUCUGGGGAAAUCUUCCGGCUUAACCGGAAGGCGUCUCAGGGAUACUGGCAGACUAGGGACCGGGAGAGGUGAGGGGUACUCCAGGGGUAGGAGUGAAAUCCUGUAAUCCUUGGGGGACCACCUGUGGCGAAGGCGCCUCACCAGAACGGCUCCGACAGUGAGGGACGAAAGCUGGGGGAGCAAACCGGAUUAGAUACCCCAGUAGUCC